GUUUUAUUUCCGGCACGUUCUCAAAUCCAGACUUCAUAUCCUGUAGCCCCCUGACCUUCCCAAAAGACUUCCCUCCCAAAAGAAAAAAUAAAAAUCAGCCCACAACCUGCCCUGAGGCUGAGGUAUUCACUUGGCGAUUUGCAGGUUCACAAGGCAGGCUCCAGGGAAAGCACCCCAAUCCUGGGGUGAUCCUCUGCCACGGCUCUGAAGUUAUUACAGAAAAAUGGAGAAUGAAGAAACGAGAAUAUUAAAGGGCUUACUUAAAGGCGCGCUUCACUUCCGUUUAACACUCUGAUCUGCGUCCAAAACUAAAAGAAUCGUUUAGCUUGUGCACUCACCCUCACUCAAAAUCGCUUGUGCAGUAGGCUUUUUUAUGUUCCAGUACUUCAUGGAAUCAAAUUAUAUCACAUUAAAAUGUUAUUAGUUUAAAACACAUUAAAUAAAUGUAAGUCUGGGCCGACGCAUGAAUAUUUAAAGCUCACAUUACACGGUGAACUAGAAGAAAAGGGGGUGAGGAGAGCCAACAGAACAUCGUAUAAAUACUGAUAGAAAUAAAGCAUCCUAUGUGCAAACUUUCUUUAGCAAAAUAUGGUUUUAUUACUUACACUUAUUAUGGUAUUGUUAAAUUUGAAAAGAAAUAUAAAGAGAAAUGAACUGAUUUACGCUUGUUUUCAAUAUUAAACAACCAGAAUGCCAGUAAAUCUUUUCAAUGCCCCAUUUUGGAUUCUUAGGUGAGAGUGGAUUGCUGGGACGUGUUGGCAAAUUUUAAAUACAACUGAUUGCCUGUUUUCCAUAUUCAUAUAUUGCGAAUGUAACUCCAGGAGAGUGAAUUUUAUCUCAAAAUUCUCCAAGAGUUGCCUUCAAAUAGCGUCUCUGUGCAUAUGCAUACGGCAUACACUUGACGUCUACCAUGUGUACCUGUGCGCUGGAAACUAGUCGUGGAACUGAAUUGAAUUAGUGGAUUUGAGUUGAAAUGAACCCAUCCAAACGACCCCAGGUCUGCGCUCUUUGAGGCUUCUCUCAGUAACAUUUCUAAUGAAAGCAAGAAAAGCAGUAAAGUAAAACAACAAUAGUAAUAACCCACCAUGAGCACCAGGUUACCCGAACACAGACCCAUUGCGUAUUCUAGCGCAACCCAAGUAUUUCCGGGUGGCGAGUCGCUGGCACAUGGUGCCCCAGUGAGCCCGCACCCGGAGCUCGAAGCCCUGUAGGCGCAGAGGACCCCACUGCCAACUGAAAUGGGUGUUUUGACCCAAACCAAUCCUCAGCUCCUUUUUGCCCCGGGCGCCGCCUGAAACCCCGAGGCGACGGCUGGCCCGCGAUGUGCACUUUUUGCGCUCUGCGCUGGGGGAGUUGCAGGUGGAGAGGCGCCCCCAUCCAUCCCGGCACCGCCCCUAGGGAAGCCCCAAGUUUAUACCGCAAGGGACCAACUCGCCGCGACUCGGCGUCCACCCUCAAUGCUGACACAGUUCAGGCCCGGCAAACGAAGCAGGGCGGGGCUGGGCAUUAGGGGCGCCGCCUGCCGAAGAUGCGGUACCACGUGCGCGCUGUACGGACCCCGAAUCCUGUGAGUCCAGCUCCGGCCACAGGCUUUCGAAGAACUGGGCCCUCGGCUUUAGGGCGGGGCCUCUUCUUUGCCUCCUGCCUGGAUGUCGACUCCCACCCACGCUCUGCGCUAGCUCCGGGGCCGAGCCCCAGUGCCAGAGUCGUUCCCUGAGGCUUCUCCCAGGGCUCGCACAGAGGGAGGCCCAGUGGCGGACGGCGAUGGCCCAGCCUUUGCUGGAUUCCGGGCUAGGGGUCUGGGGAAGAGGGGCAUCGGGCCGGAAAUGAGCCCCAGUUCGGGCUCCACGAGCCCUGGAGCCCCCAACGAUGUUUCCUGGCUGAGUUAAAGAGCCCGACCUUGGCCCCUCGCCUGGCGAUGUCGGCCUCCCCCUCCCUUGCCCGCAGCGUCUUAGCUGGAGGGCAGCUCGCAGCGUGCCUAGGCCAACCCCUUCUGCGUCUCUUUUCUUUUCCUGUCACUCUCUGUUCUCGGCUUCUGCUUUCUCCUUCUCACAGAAUGCCAGAGCGCCCAGGGGCCUGGAGGAGCUUCCGCACCAGCCCCUUUUCUGGGCCUCCAAUUUGCCUUCCCCACAGUCUAGUCUCCCCCCGUUCCAUAUUUCUUUCUGUUUAGACUCUGCUCGUAUUUCCUCGCCGAUUGAGCCAGCAUGUGUCUCUGCCUCUAAAUCUUCUCCCUCGUGUAACAUUAAACAAACCAAGGGCCGCAGUGUCAAUUCCGUGUCCUCCGAAGUGGUUCGUCACCUGCUCCGCCGAGGGGAGCCGCCCCUUGGGCCAACGCUGCGGGAGUCCGGACGGUCCGAAGCAUGCUGGCCAGGCGCAAGGGGAGACCGACUCACAGGGGAGAGGGUGGGCAAGGGGACGGCGGCUGGGCCUCGGUACCCCGCGAGGGGGGCUCUGCGAUUCUGACCCAGCAGCGGCGCCUCCGGGCCCGCGAGGUUUUGACGACCAGCGGGCGCCCCCUCGGGAACCACAUUUGUUUCCCGCUGGUCUCGAGCGUCCAGAGCGCGAAGCGGCGGAGCACGGCGAACCUACGAUUCGUGAUGCUUGGCCUAAUCCUCUGCCCUUCAUGGGUGCGGGCAGGAACGGAGUAGCGGCUGAUGUCCCCUCCCUAAUCCCAAAGCCCCACAAAAGCCAAAAUACACACGCAAACUCUCACCAGCGCAUCUCACAAACACAAAAACUAAAGACAACACAUGAAAAUAUAACCCGAUCCCCCACCAAAACGUACAGUUCAAAAAAAUAAAAUUCAAAUCGAAGGAAACAAAACACACACAACACGAAAUUCCCUAAGGCAACACACACACAGACGACACCCACUCACACCAAAUCAAAACACAUCUAAACACCGCGGAGAAGGAAAAGCCUUACAAACGACACACAAAAAGACAGCCUACAAGGACAAAGUACAAAAUUACACAAAAUCAAAACUCACCCCAAAGACCAGGACUUACAGAGCAAAACCCGCUAAAAUCAAUCCCACGAAAAAACAACACGCAAAACACCCGAAACAAAAGAAUAUCCCAUGGAAAAAUGAAAACUCACAGAAAACAAACAAAAACAAAACAAGCCCUCUAAAUGGAAACAACAACAACAACAAAACACCAACACCCCCCGCCCCCAGCCCGGGGUGAAAUGUCAAUUCCGGGAGGGCUUUUGAUCUCCAGGCGCGGACAGGCCGCUCCUCCCAGGCGCUGCCUCCCGGCGCGGGCGAGGCGGGAGGGCGGGAAGCCUGGGCUGGGGCUGGGCUGCGGAGGGAAAGAGUCGAGCACUCGGAGAUGGCCAAAAAUCAAAUCUCGGGGUAGGGACACGGGCCCGCAGGCUGCAGGGAGGAGGCGGCGCUGGGGAACUGCGCAGACCACUUGGUGGGGGGGCCGCCCGGGAAUCCACAGCCACAUUUCCGAUUGUGGCGAAAUCUGCUCAGUGGAUAUGUGAUGUCCAGUUGCCGCCGGGGGCCCCCCUUUCCUCGAGCUCUAGGCUCUUCCCCCUAGGUUGCGACCCAGCC
rnacentral:lncRNA from 10 species